UACGUAGGGUGCAAGCGUUGUCCGGAAUUAUUGGGCGUAAAGAGCUCGUAGGCGGUCUGUCGCGUCUGCUGUGAAAAACUCGGGGCUUAACCCCCGGGCCUGCAGUGGGUACGGGCAGACUAGAGUGCGGUAGGGGGAGACUGGAAUUCCUGGUGUAGCGGUGAAAUGCGCAGAUAUCAGGAGGAACACCGGUGGCGAAGGCGGGUCUCUGGGCCGUAACUGACGCUGAGGAGCGAAAGCGUGGGGAGCGAACAGG
rnacentral:rRNA from 1 species